GUAACAUCACGAGUUCCUCCAAACACUUCAGUACUAGAUAUUAAUCAUGAAAAGAACACUAAGCAAUGAAGUGUUUGAGGGGAACUCGAGGUGAAAC
rnacentral:pre_miRNA from 1 species